rnacentral:rRNA from 1 species
AUUGAACGCUGGCGGCAGGCCUAACACAUGCAAGUCGAGCGGAUGAAGGGAGCUUGCUCCUGGAUUCAGCGUCGGACGGGUGAGUAAUGCCUAUGAAUCUGCCUGGUAGUGGGGGAUAACGUCCGGAAACGGGCGCUAAUACCGCAUACUUCCUGAGGGUGAAAGUGGGGGAUCUUCGGACCUCACGCUAUCAGAUGAGCCUAGGUCGGAUUAGCUAGUUGGUGGGGUAAAGGCCUACCAAGGCGACGAUCCGUAACUGGUCUGAGAGGAUGAUCAGUCACACUGGAACUGAGACACGGUCAAGACGACUAAGGGAGGCAGCAGUGGGGAAUAUUAGACAAUGGGCGAAAGCAUGAUACAGCCAGGGCGCGUGUGUGAAGAAGGUCUUCGGAGUGUAAAGAACUUUAAGUUGGGAGGAAGGGCAGUAAGUUAAUACCUUGCUGUUCUGACGGUACCAACAGAAUAAGCACCGGCUAACUUCGUG